rnacentral:rRNA from 1 species
GACAGAGGAGCCAAGCGUUGUCCGGAUUGACUGGGCGUAAAGCGCACGCAGGCGGUCGUGCACGUGGGGUGUGAAAUCUGGCCGCUUAACGGCCAGGCGCCAUCCCAUACGGCGCGACUGGAGCCUUGCAGAGGGCGGUGGAAUUGCCGGAGUAGUGGUGAAAUGCGUAGAGAUCGGCAGGAACACCCAAGGGGAAGCCAGCCGCCUGGGCAAGCGCUGACGCUGAGGUGCGAGAGCGUGGGGAGCGAACCGG